rnacentral:rRNA from 1 species
GAGGAAUAUUGGUCAAUGGACGGAAGUCUGAACCAGCCAAGUAGCGUGCAGGAAGACGGCCCUAUGGGUUGUAAACUGCUUUUGUAUGGGGAUAAAGUCAAUCACGUGUGAUUGUUUGCAGGUACCAUACGAAUAAGGACCGGCUAAUUCCGUGCCAGCAGCCGCGGUAAUACGGAAGGUUCGGGCGUUAUCCGGAUUUAUUGGGUUUAAAGGGAGCGUAGGCCGGAGAUUAAGUGUGUUGUGAAAUGUAGACGCUCAACGUCUGACUUGCAGCGCAUACUGGUUUCCUUGAGUACGCACAACGUUGGCGGAAUUCGUCGUGUAGCGGUGAAAUGCUUAGAUAUGACGAAGAACUCCGAUUGCGAAGGCAGCUGACGGGAGCGCAACCGACGCUGAAGCUCGAAGGUGCGGGUAUCGAACAGGAUUAGAUACCCUGGUAGUCCGCACAGUAAACGAUGGAUGCCCGCUGUUGGUACCUAGUAUCAGCGGCUAAGCGAAAGCAUUAAGCAUCCCACCUGGGGAGUACGCCGGCAACGGUG